AUUUAAAUAGUUUAUAUAAAAUAUUGAUUUGUGGUAUCAAAGAAAAUUAAAUUAAUUUUUAAAUU
rnacentral:tRNA from 1 species